rnacentral:lncRNA from 1 species
GAAACGGGUAUGCAGGAGAUUAGAAGCCAGUGGGCACGAGCGUGGCUGCCACCAGGUGAAUGCCUGUGCCCUGGCGUCCUGGGGCCCAGAGGACCGGGAGCUUCCAUCAAGAGGCUGCCCCCCAGCACCAAGGCCAGAAAGUGGCCAGGGGAGGCUAAGUACAGGGAUUUCUCAGAAUGGUGGAAGGAGCUCAGCCCAGCCUUGCCCAAGAUGUAUUGCAGGGGAAUCUGGACAUUUUAGCCAUACCAAGAAUCAUUAGAAGAUGCAAGCUGGAAAAAAGAAGGUCCCAGUUUUGGUUUUGAACCCUUCAUGUUGCAGCAAAUGUGAAUCUCCUACAGAUGGGUUUGGGGACUUACCUGUUCAAAUAGCAGCCCGGUGUCCUCUGUGGGUGGGGGGAGGUUUGUCUGUCCUUUCAUUCUAGUAAAUCCACCAUCCUCUGCACGAGAGCCAGGAGAAUCCACAUCACUUCAAAAGAGCCCCCAAAUCCUUACGUACUACAGCCUCCUUUCGAAUGUUCCUGGUUGAGAGGGAGAUCAAUUGCAUUAUUUACAAGUCAAAAAAUUUUGUAUCAAACUUCCUAUGAGCUUGGGCACUGAUGGCCUAUGGAGGCCCACCCAGACGCAGCCCUGCCAUCAUGCUUUUUCAUUGUUUUGUGGAUGUACCCAGGGCUAUUUACACACUCUUUCAUUAAAA